GAUGAACGCUGGCGGCGUGCCUAAUACAUGCAAGUCGAGCGAACGGACGAGAAGCUUGCUUCUCUGAUGUUAGCGGCGGACGGGUGAGUAACACGUGGAUAACCUACCUAUAAGACCGGGAUAACUUCGGGAAACCGUAACUAAUACCGGAUAAUAUUUUGAACCGCAUGGUUCAAAAGUGAAAGACGGUCUUGCUGUCACUUAUAGAUGGAUCCGCGCUGCAUUAGCUAGUUGGUAAGGUAACGGCUUACCAAGGCAACGAUGCAUAGCCGACCUGAGAGGGUGAUCGGCCACACUGGAACUGAGACACGGUCCAGACUCCUACGGGAGGCAGCAGUAGGGAAUCUUCCGCAGUGGGCGAAAGCCUGACGGAGCAACGCCGCGUGAGUGAUGAAGGUCUUCGGAUCGUAAAACUCUGUUAUUAGGGAAGAACAUAUGUGUAAGUAACUGUGCACAUCUUGACGGUACCUAAUCAGAAAGCCACGGCUAACUACGUGCCAGCAGCCGCGGUAAUACGUAGGUGGCAAGCGUUAUCCGGAAUUAUUGGGCGUAAAGCGCGCGUAGGCGGUUUUUUAAGUCUGAUGUGAAAGCCCACGGCUCAACCGUGGAGGGUCAUUGGAAACUGGAAAACUUGAGUGCAGAAGAGGAAAGUGGAAUUCCAUGUGUAGCGGUGAAAUGCGCAGAGAUAUGGAGGAACACCAGUGGCGAAGGCGACUUUCUGGUCUGUAACUGACACUGAUGUGCGAAAGCGUGGGGAUCAAACAGGAUUAGAUACCCUGGUAGUCCACGCCGUAAACGAUGAGUGCUAAGUGUUAGGGGGUUUCCGCCCCUUAGUGCUGCAGCUAACGCAUUAAGCACUCCGCCUGGGGAGUACGACCGCAAGGUUGAAACUCAAAGGAAUUGACGGGGACCCGCACAAGCGGUGGAGCAUGUGGUUUAAUUCGAAGCAACGCGAAGAACCUUACCAAAUCUUGACAUCCUUUGACAACUCUAGAGAUAGAGCCUUCCCCUUCGGGGGACAAAGUGACAGGUGGUGCAUGGUUGUCGUCAGCUCGUGUCGUGAGAUGUUGGGUUAAGUCCCGCAACGAGCGCAACCCUUAAGCUUAGUUGCCAUCAUUAAGUUGGGCACUCUAAGUUGACUGCCGGUGACAAACCGGAGGAAGGUGGGGAUGACGUCAAAUCAUCAUGCCCCUUAUGAUUUGGGCUACACACGUGCUACAAUGGACAAUACAAAGGGCAGCGAAACCGCGAGGUCAAGCAAAUCCCAUAAAGUUGUUCUCAGUUCGGAUUGUAGUCUGCAACUCGACUACAUGAAGCUGGAAUCGCUAGUAAUUGUAGAUCAGCAUGCUACGGUGAAUACGUUCCCGGGUCU
rnacentral:rRNA from 1 species